AUGCCCUCCUCCAGGGGAUCUUCCCCACCCAGGGAUCGAACCUACAUCUCCUGCAUUGAAGGCAGAUUCUUUACCAUCGAGCCACUGGGGAAGCCCAAACACUCCCACCAGGGCAAAGGUCAAAUCACCAACUGCCCCACAAAACUUCUGAAGAAUAACAAUCAGCUGCUGAGUGCUGGUACAGGUGGGCCCCAGCACACCGCACCCAAGUCCUGUGUUCGCUCUGGAGCGCUGUCUCACCUGGGAUGCACUUGGACUCCCCGGCUGGGUGACUGGCCACUCCUGGGCCAACCUGACACUAAAGCAGCAAAUGUGGUUUUCCAGGCCCUAGGGAAGGUGGCUGUAUUCAGUUGGCUGGCUAUGUGCAGUAGAGAUGACCUUUGUAUUCUGGAUCAACGAGCUGUUUGUUAUUUCCCCGUCCUGGAUGUGGCAUGACCAGCAAUCAAGAUAAGCCACGAUACGUUCUCUAANNNNNNNNNNNNNNNNNNNNNNNNNNAGAGCCAGAUUUAUUUAAGAAUAAUAGAUAGGGGCAGGGAAGUGUGUUCAGAUGUGUGUGUCUGGCAGUGACAUGGAAGCUCUGGGCAACCACAGUCAAUAAAUGUCCUGUCUGGUGUAAGUGACCCGACAACACAGCUCCAAGCCCCCCGCACCACAGGAAGACCCUUCCCCAAGCCUCUUCUACUUGGAAAUGGCAGCGCUUCCCCUGGACAGUGAUCCCGGCUGAGAAUUUCUUUGGGUUCACCUACCAGUCAUAGCCAAGGGGCUGACACCAGUCCUAAGCUUUUUCUAUAUGGUAUCCUUGGCCCCUGCCAGCUCUGUUAUUUCCUUCUGUGUAUCUACAGUUGCUUGGCUCUUUGGUUCAGCUUUUUUUAAAAAGAGCCACAAAUGUCAUUUUUCCUGAGGAAGUUGCAUGAAUAAGAACCGAAAAAUUGAACUAGAGUGGUGUUUAUCAACAUUUUUUUAAUCACUCCAUCCCAAAGAGUCUUUUCAGACAUUUUUUUCAUCAUCACCUCCCCAUGAUAUAUUUGGGUUUUUUUUUUUUUUUUUGGUCACGUCAUGUGGCAUGUGGACUCUCAGUUCCCCAAUGCAGUCUUAACCACUGGACCACCACGGAAAUCCUCCACAAAAUAUUUUAAUACCACGUAUAAAUAGGGGAGUUCCCUGGUGGUCUAGUGGUUAGUGCUUUCUAUUGCUUUCACUGCUGUGGCCCAGGUUCAAUCCCUGGUUGGGGAACUGAUAUCCACCAAGAUGCAUGGCAUGGCCAAAAUAAAUAAUAAUACCACAAAUAAAUAGUAAAUCUGCUUGUUACUUGUUAUAUAUAUAUGCUUUAUGUAUAAAAGAGGAAGAUUUAUUUAGGGUGGGGGAGUUGCUUCUGGCUUCUAAUAGGAAGAGACUGGAAACACUGCUUAAAAUCCUACCACACACAGGGCAGCCCUCCACAAUGGAGUCACCCAGCCAGGAAGACUGGCAGUCCUGAGGCUGAGGACUCCUAAGCUAGAGCAAUGUUCCCACAGGUAAACCGCAGAGCCAGGUGCACAGAGAUUCUGUAAAGGGAAAUGGACAAAGAAGCUUGGGGGAAUGUUUGGCUUGGGCUGAGGUUAAAUGCUGAGCAUGGUACAGUUCCUUAUCGUUGUGCUUUUCCAGUGCUCAUAUUACCAGGAACUCUGGUAGCAGAUAGAGAGUAAAAAUGUCUCAGGUAUAUGUUAUUGCCAGAGCUGACACCAGACCCGUGGACAGGAGCUAAUGCAUAUCUUUAAGUCACAGGGUCCAGGGACAAAGAAGGGAAUCUAUAGAAAAACAAAAACCCAUAUGGAAUCACUUGGANNNNNNNNNNNNNNNNNNNNNNNNNNNNNNNNNNNNNNNNNNNNNNNNNNNNNNNNNNNNNNNNNNNNNNNNNNNNNNNNNNNNNNNNNNNNNNNNNNNGAAAAACAAAAACCCAUAUGGAAUCACUUGGAACCAAGACGAAGCUGACCUCCAGCAGCCCUUGAGUCUCAUUCUACACUGAUUUUACUACAUCAGCUACUAAAUGACCCCUUUGCCCCCAGCCAUGGCCCAAAGUUGUGCCAUGUUGGGAAGAAGCUCCUCUAAAGCACAGCUCCCACUUCUCCAUUCUCAGGCCAUUGGAUAAACAUCAGUCUCAGCUUUGGUUCCGUCUCUGGCUGCAUGAAGCUGAAAGGAGUGAGAACCUUCCCUGUUGAGGUGGGGGCCUCAGCUGGGCCCAGGCCCCAGCAGGGGUCCAUAUGGGCUGACUGGGUAACAAUUUGACAAAUACAUUGAUGCCCAUCAUACCGAGUAACCUAUAAAAUGGACAUAUUUUUAGAAAUGCAGUGCCUGAGGAAGGUUCCAGCAUGGGAUUAGGAGCCCUGAGCAACGAGUUGCCCUGGGCAGGGCCAUCUGAGUGUGUUGUCUAAGUCUCUGCGGACCCCUCCAUGGAGGGGGAGAAGCGAUGAAGUUCUAGAAAAACUGGUGCUAUCUGGAUGUCCAAGUCGUCAUCAGCGGUGGUUGGUCAGUAUGGGUCUGGAGAUGGUCCCUUAAACCAGUCGGUGCUCCCUUGACUGACUGGCCGUGUGACAGGCCCCUGGCCCCAUGUGUGAGUAAGUCAGAGGUCUGAGUCUGUGCUGGCUAGGGCAUAUGUCUGCUCAGUCUGGGUUUGGAUUUCAGGGCCACCGUGUAUGCUAUAUGAACCUCAAUUUUCCUAUCUGUAAAAAUGGGAGUGAUAAUGCAUGAAGAUUGUGAGAGGAUUAAUGAGCUAAAGUUUGUAAAACACUUAGCAUGGUGUCUGGUGCAGAAAGGUGUUCAAAACGGCACCAGCUGUGAAAAUUAGUAGGUUGCAUAAAACACACAAGAAUAUACCAGCUUUGUCUCCUGAAAUGGCUGAGCCUCGCAUGUUUCCCUUAGCCAUCAUUAGGAGUCCAGAAAAUAUUUUGAUUUAGACUUAGAGGGCCACAGUCAAUUUUCACAAUCACAGAAUUCAGGUUAAAAGCAGGUUUCAGGUUUCCAAGCAGCAAAAAUUACUGUUCUGGAGAAAGUCAUUCUUCAGGUUUGCAAAAUAAUAAUGAUACUGUCCUGAAGAAACACGAAAUAGGUUUUCCCUCCAGUAAGGGUUUCAAAACUAAACAAUAUUCCCACCCCCACACAUACACAAACAGAGGAUCACAUUUUAAGAACCCAUAGAGGGGAGGUGGAGCAUUCAAGGCAACACAGCCAGAGACACAGUGCAUUUCAUGGACAAAAUCUUUUGAUUUUGAGCCGAGUUUCUGAAACCUGACCAAAGAGGAGAUGACCAACAAAAAUACCAAGGGCACACCUUUCUCCAAAGCAAGGUGACAAGCCUCAUCACACAGACCUCCACUAGGACGCAAAGCAAUAGCAUGAGACUACUGCGCCCCCUGGUGGACCAAGCCUUACUUCAAGACCAAAGACAUCAAAGAACCAUCCCCAUAGCCACAUACAGGACCUGCAAGUCUGACCCUGGAAGCUAAAAACUCCCAAGGCCUUCAGGAAGAGCUCCACGAAACUCUGCUGCAGAGAAGUGGUGAUAAAACAUCCAGGGUCUGAUGUCAGACCUGUAACUCACAGCUUAAAAUGAGAGAAGGCUGCCAGGCAGGGCCACACAGCAGGUGGACCCAAGGACAGAGUAACAUCAAGUUAAGAGUUGUAGGGAGCAGGUUAUAUAUGGCAAGCAGGUUGGGAUUAGUUUUCAAGAGUUCUCUGUGUACCAAGCCGAAAAACUCUGUAGGCUUGAGACAGAAGGGUUGUCCCUAGUCAUCUGGUUCCCAAGCCGCAGGACAAUUAGGGCUGGUUCCUAAUGAUUCCAGAGUAUCAUACAAGAGGUUGAUAGGGGAAGUGACUGCAGGAUAGUAUAAAUGACAUGAUCAUAAAACCCACUUAACCAAAAUUGUGGUCAGAGGUUUCUUUGGCAGUCCAGUGGUUAAGACUCCAAGCUUUCACUAGGAGUGCAGGUUCAAUCCCUGCUGAGGAGACUAAAAUUCCACAUGGUGCAAAGCGCCACCAAAAAGCAAAAAAAUGACUUCCCUGGUGGUACAGUGGAUGAGAAUCCACCUGCCCACGAAGGGAAAACAGGUUCAAUCCCUGGUCUGUGACGAUUCCACAUGCCCCCGAGCAACUAAGCCCGUGCACCACAACCACUGAGCCUCUGCGCUAGAGUCCUCAAGCCCCAGCUCCUGAGCCUGCAGGCUCCAGGGCCCGGGAGCCACGCUACUGAACCCACCGCUGCAAGUACUGCAGCUUGUGCACCGCAACAGAGGUCCCGCACGCCGCAUCUGAGACCCAGGGUGGCCAAAUACA
ensembl:lncRNA